GACCUCGGAUCAGGUAGGAAUACCCGCUGAACUUAAGCAUAUCAAUAAG
rnacentral:rRNA from 5 species